rnacentral:rRNA from 1 species
GGGUUUAGAACGUCGUGAGACAGUUCGGUCCCUAUCUGCCGUGGGCGCUGGAGAAUUGAGGGGGGCUGCUCCUAGUACGAGAGGACCGGAGUGGACGCAUCACUGGUGUUCGGGUUGUCAUGCCAAUGGCACUGCCCGGUAGCUAAAUGCGGAAGAGAUAAGUGCUGAAAGCAUCUAAGCACGAAACUUGCCCCGAGAUGAGUUCUCCCUGAGACUAUAAGUCUCCUGAAGGAACGUUAAAGACGAUGACGUUGAUAGGCCGGGUGUGUAAGCGCAGCGAUGCGUUGAGCUAACCGGUACUAAUGAACCGUGAGGCUUAACCUUACAACGCCGAAG